GAUGAACGCUAGCGGCAGGCCUAAUACAUGCAGGUCGAACGGUGUCUUCGGGCAUAGUGGCGCACGGGUGCGUAACACGUAUGCAACCUACCUUACAUUGGGGGAUAGCCUUUCGAAAGGGAGAUUAAUACCGCAUAAGACAGUAGCUGGGCAUCCAGCAGCUGUUAAAGAGUUAUCGAUGUAAGCUGGGCAUGCGUCCAAUUAGCUAGUUGGUGAGGUAACGGCUCACCAAGGCAAUGAUUGGUAGGGGAACUGAGAGGUCAAUCCCCCACACUGGCACUGAGAUACGGGCCAGACUCCUACGGGAGGCAGCAGUAGGGAAUAUUGGGCAAUGGACGCAAGUCUGACCCAGCCAUGCCGCGUGCAGGAUGAAGGCGUUAUGCGUCGUAAACUGCUUUUAUACAGGAAGAAGCGACUCUUGCGAGAGGCAUUGACGGUACUGUAUGAAUAAGCACCGGCUAACUCCGUGCCAGCCGCCGCAGUAAGAC
rnacentral:rRNA from 1 species